rnacentral:rRNA from 1 species
AUUGAACGCUGGCGGCAUGCCUUACACAUGCAAGUCGAACGGCAGCACGGGAGCAAUCCUGGUGGCGAGUGGCGAACGGGUGAGUAAUAUAUCGGAACGUGCCCGGUCGUGGGGAUAACGUAGCGAAAGCUACGCUAAUACCGCAUACGAUCUACGGAUGAAAGCGGGGGAUCGCAAGACCUCGCGCGAUUGGAGCGGCCGAUAUCAGAUUAGGUAGUUGGUGAGGUAAAGGCUCACCAAGCCGACGAUCUGUAGCUGGUCUGAGAGGACGACCAGCCACACUGGGACUGAGACACGGCCCAGACUCCUACGGGAGGCAGCAGUGGGGAAUUUUGGACAAUGGACGCAAGUCUGAUCCAGCCAUUCCGCGUGCAGGAUGAAGGCCUCGGUUGUAACUAGCUUUUGUUACGGAACGGAAACGGUAGGUAGCUCUAAUACAGUUUG